rnacentral:rRNA from 1 species
UGUUAGUGGCAGACGGGUGAGUAAUGCGUAGGAAUCUACCUAGUAGUACGGAAUAGCCAUUAGAAAUGGUGGGUAAUACUGUAUAAUCCCCGAGGGGGAAAGAUUUAUCGCUAUUAGAUGAGCCUACGUUAGAUUAGCUAGUUGGUGAGGUAAUGGCUUACCAAGGCUAUGAUCUAUAGCUGGUCUGAGAGGACGAUCAGCCACACUGGAACUGAGAUACGGUCCAGACUCCUACGGGAGGCAGCAGUGGGGAAUAUUGGACAAUGGGCGAAAGCCUGAUCCAGCUAUGCCGCGUGAGUGAAGAAGGCCUUCGGGUUGUAAAACUCUUUCAAUAGGGAAGAUAAUGACGGUACCUAUAA